UUUUUUAUGAGAUCAAGCUGUAACUUGCCCUUAUCCUACUAUAAGUCACUCUAGAGACAAAUUAUUUUUUACCCUUCUCCUUUUCACAGAUCUCCAGGAUGGUUUUUGGCUGGUGGGAUUUUUUGUAUACCAAAGGCUAAUGCUGUGAAAGUGUAGCAGGAUCGGGAUGCGGUAACAGAGCUGGACACCUCAGUGAUAUAAUUUGCACAGGUGAUCGUAGUUCCUUGGUUGAGUGCCACAUUUCAUGGAAUUCAUUUGAACAACUCCCAGCUGAUCAUUCCAAAAAACUCAGUGGAUGGAAAAUAAAACCCCUCAGCAGCAUUCUUGAAAAAUCAUGUAGUGUUGUUGAGCAUUCGUGCUGAGCAUGUGAUUCAUGUACUGGAUAAGACUGUGCAUUUGUACUCACUGCUACUGAUGCUUUGAAGCCACCCAAGCAUGGGCUGUCUUUGUGUGGCCCUAAAUAGGAAUAUUUAUGGGGUAAAGCUGCCCUGGGAUGUCAUCUGGGGUGGCAGUUUCACUUUUUAUUUACGUUUCUUUUUUUGCCACAAAGAAUACAAAGAGGAAAGGUGAAUAAUACACUCGAGGUUAAUUAGACUCUUUCUGAAACUCUGCGUUCUAGAGAAGUAUUGUGUUAAUGAUCCCAUGAGAACAAAUUUAAAUAAAGAUUGGAGGAACUAAAACAAGAUUGAUUUCCUCAGGAAUUUUGUGAGAACAUUCUCUAAUAUUAUUUUUUUUUCCAUUGAGAAAGCUUUUAUGACACUUGGAAAUGUUUCAGCUAAUUUUAUGGAUCACAGCAAUUCCAGGUGGAAAAACAGGAAGACAGACAAUCUGAGGGGGAGAGAAUGGAUCAGAGCACAACAGUCACACUCAGGGAGUGCAGUUGCUGCUAUCUCAGGCCAAAAGAAGCAUGUGUAAGUUCAUGGGAGAAGGAGAGCAAAUAUCUUGGAGCUCAAACAGAAACAUAGCAACGUGUCCACGGCAGGUAACAGCAAAGAACUUGCGGGGUUGUUUUUCUGUCUCUUGAGCUGUACAGGCAGGACCUCAGCUCUCCUUUCCGGCGGAAUAUUUCUGUGCACGGGG
rnacentral:lncRNA from 1 species